UACGGAGGGAGCUAGCGUUGUUCGGAAUUACUGGGCGUAAAGCGCGCGUAGGCGGCUUUGUAAGUUAGAGGUGAAGCCCAGGCUUAACCCUGGAAUUGCCUUUAAGACUGCAUCGCUAGAAUCGUGGAGAGGUGAGUGGAAUUCCGAGUGUAGAGGUGAAAUUCGUAGAUAUUCGGAAGAACACCAGUGCGAAGGCGGCUCACUGGCCCGGAACUGACGCUGAGACGCGAAAGCGUGGGAGCAACAGG
rnacentral:rRNA from 1 species